UACGUAGGGUGCAAGCGUUGUCCGGAAUUAUUGGGCGUAAAGAGCUCGUAGGCGGUCUGUCGCGUCGGUCGUGAAAACUUGGGGCUUAACCCUGAGCUUGCGGUCGAUACGGGCAUGACUGGAGUUCGGCAGGGGAGACUGGAAUUCCUGGUGUAGCGGUGAAAUGCGCAGAUAUCAGGAGGAACACCGGUGGCGAAGGCGGGUCUCUGGGCAGUAACUGACGCUGAGGAGCGAAAGCGUGGGGAGCGAACAGG
rnacentral:rRNA from 1 species